rnacentral:rRNA from 1 species
CGACGAUUGAGAUAGCCCAGCACCGAAGCCCGUUGAUAUAAUAAUUUUGUAUUAAUGUGCAAUGUGGUGUUUGGGAGAACUCUUUACCAAUAUUUAUUUUAAUAUUGUUCAAGUCCUUCUUGAAUGGGGCCACACUUCCAUAGAGGGUGCCAGGCCCGUAGAACUUUUAUUUAUAUUAUUGGUGAGUUUCUCCUUAGAGUCGAGUUGCUUGAGAGUGCAGCUCUAAGUAGGUGGUAAACUCCAUCUAAGGCUAAAUAUAACCACGAGGCCGAUAGCUAACAAGUACCGUGAGGGAAAGUUGAAAAGAACUUUGAAGAGAGAGUUCAAAAGUACGUGAAACCGUUUAGAAGUAAACCUGUUAUACUCCUAUAAUUUUAUCAUAUGCAGAAAGAUUCAACAUGCUUUGCCGAAUACAACACUACAUUAAUUAUUUUUAUAUAUAUGUAUAUAUAAUUUAUUAUAUAUGUGUAAUUGUAUAUUUGAGACGAUGUAGUUUAUUAAUUUUAGAAUUUUUCUUUUCCAAAGAGAUUCUAUAAUUCAAUAAUAUUGCUUGCUCAAUUUUUGUAUUGUAUAGUUUGUAUCGGAGCUGUGCACUUCUUUCUGUAUAUUAGCGUUGCGACACGUUAUAUGUAUCGUUCUUCUUAUAUAUAUUUUUAUGUAUUGGUGUUAUGGCCAGCAAUGAUUAGACCGUGGAAUUUGAGUUGCUUUGCGCUCUUAUUACCAGGACUUUUGUAUCCUAACGAUCAAUGUAACGUUAUUUAUUACAUAAAGUAAUGUAUCUCUGUGUGUUCUUGUGAUGAGAUAUCAUUUAUUUUCUGUCAGCAACGUAUAUAAUAAUAAGAGUAAUAACAGGACCCGUCUUGAAACACGGACCAGGGAGUCUAGCAUAUUUGCAAGUCAUAGAGUUUAAAUAUAAAACUCGUAGACACAAUUAACGUAAAAGGUGUGUAGUGUACUCUCACUCUCACCAAGGGAAGAUGAGUAGUGGAUAUUUGAAAACUACUUCGCACUCCUAGGGCGUUCCAUAUAAGUUUUAUUAUGUAAUGUUUUAAAAUUUGGGGCGCACCAAGAGUAUAUACGCUAGAACCCGAAAGAUGGUGAACUAUGCCUGAUCAGGAUGAAGUCCAGGGAA